rnacentral:rRNA from 1 species
UGGGGAAUUUUGGACAAUGGGGGAAACCCUGAUCCAGCCAUCCCGCGUGUGCGAUGAAGGCCUUCGGGUUGUAAAGCACUUUUGGCAGGAAAGAAACGUCAUGGGUUAAUACCCCGUGAAACUGACGGUACCUGCAGAAUAAGCACCGGCUAACUACGUGCCAGCAGCCGCGGUAAUACGUAGGGUGCAAGCGUUAAUCGGAAUUACUGGGCGUAAAGCGUGCGCAGGCGGUUAGGAAAGAAAGAUGUGAAAUCCCAGAGCUCAACUUUGGAACUGCAUUUUUAACUACCGGGUUAGGGUGUGUCAGGGGGGGGUAGAAUUCCGCGUGUAGCAGUGAAAUGCGUAGAUAUGCGGAGGAACACCGAUGGCGAAGGCAGCCUCCUGGGAUAACACUGACGCUCGUGCACGAAAGCGUGGGGAGCAAACAGG